rnacentral:lncRNA from 1 species
AUGGCUAAUGUUAUUUCCCUGUCCCUGUCCCUGUCCCUUUUUCUUUCUCCCAGUCUCUAUUCCUCUAUCUCUACCUUUCAGAUUCAGUCAAUUUCUGUCUUACCAUCUUCUCUCUGUCCCUCUUUGCCUUUCUCACUAAUCUCUUACUUUUCUUCUGUUUUAGGAAGGAGUGGGGUCUGGAACCCUUUCUUCCCCCUCCCUCCUGCAGGGCAUCAAAGAGAAGAACCUCCGGAAAUCUCUCUCUCAGCAACUGAAGGCUCACCAAACACAUCCUUCCUGCGGCACCAAGCACUUUGGGAGGCCGAAGCAGAAGGAUCGCUUGAGCCCAGGAGUUUGACACCCAGUCUGGGGCAUAGUGAGACACCGUCUUUACUUUUAAAAAAAAUAAUAACAAAUAAAAUAAAUGUAAAAAAAGGAAAUGUACCUCUGUACCUCAAUAGCUUUCUAAUUCAUCAGUCCUGGGAUAUGGAAUUGUGGGAAACGAAACCCCAGCCUAGGGAAAAAGGGGAGAGUUGGGGGCACAAGAUCUGACCUGGAUAAUGGGUCUCUGGGUAGAAUGGUGAGGGAUCAGAUUACUGCCUCCACUUUCUAGUGCUCUGACGGACUCCCACUAUCUGCUUUCCGGAGCCCCGCAGCAGCUUCUUAGCUUUGUAAGGCUCAGUGUGCCUGUGCUUCCUGCCCAAGAAGCGGAAGAGUGGUGAGAGACACUAGAAUCAGCAUGCAGAUGUACACGCGGGACACAGCCGCCCCCAUGUAUUCCUCCCAUUCCAGAUUUCUUGCAUUACCAACUAGUUUCUCUUUUAAGAUGUAAAUUUCCCCAGAGAGUUAAGCCAUUCCCACCUUGUGCAUAUUUAAUCAGAUUGUUUUCUUCUCAACUGAGAACAUCAGUGCUCACCACCAUCUCCUCAGGUAACAUUUUUCCGAGGCACCCCCAUGCUCGGGCUGGAAAUAUGAUGAAGAGGGUCUGUUCUUGGCCCCAGAGCUGGGUCUUGAAAGACUAUUAGAGUAUGUCUAGAUGAAUCCAUGGGCAUGGGUCAUGGGAGGAAGUCUUUCCCAGGCAGGGAGAUCCAUGUGUACAAAGGCCCAGAGAUAUGAGAGACCAUGGUGCAAGGACAGAAAUGCAAAUCAUUCCGCCUAAGCAAUGCAGAGAAUGCAAGCUGUGUGCAAGGGCUAAGGUAGGGGCGAGAAAGAGGCCAGAGUGGUUGGUAGGAGCCAGUUCGUGGAGGGCCUUGUGUGCCAAGGAAAGGGGUUGUACUUCAUCCUGUAGGCAUCUGGGAGCCACUAAGGGUUUAAAGCAGGAAGUUGAUGUGAUUAAACUUACGUUUUAGGAUGCUCCCUCUAGCGGUGUGUGGAGGCACUUGAGGAAAAGAGGGAAACAAUGAGUGUCAGUCCUGAAGGUAACCUGGCUGUCACCCUGACACAGGUGGGAAUGUCAAGGCAAUGACUGGCUAGAGAAGAGGGAUGGAUAGAUUGGAAAAGGAGCUAGGGGGUAAGAAUCCAAAUGCUCUGGUAACUGGUGACCCUCACAUGAAAAGAUUAAGGAGGAGUCCACUGUGACUCACAGGUUUCUGGCGUGAUUGGCCAGGGGAUGCUGAUAGAGACCACAAAUGCCUGAAAUGCAGCUACGGAACUUAGGAGUACUUAGUAUGAAAGGUGUUGAGCGGGAUCCCCAGCUGGGGAAUGACCAGCAUCUAGGUAACUCUAGGAGACUGAAAGAUCUCAGGAGAGAGGUAUAGAUUAGGUGGGGCAUCAGAGUUAGUUGGAACUAACCCCAAAACAAAAUGAGUAAGCUGGAUAGUUUAGGAAUGAAGAUCAGGAGGUAGGAGGAGGUUUUAGAAAGGGAGAUGAGAUGCUAGAGGGAAGAGCUUUCCAAACUUGAACCUUCCUGCAGUUUUAUGGAGGUCGUCUUCACAUCUUCACAGUGUCACUUGCUGACAGGUGACUGUCCUAGGAUGUUGAGACGCCUCGUUGAGAACAUGGCUUUGCUUUUCCUGUGCUCCUCAGGCUUCUCAUAUUUCUGAAUGGGUUUUUCCACAGGGCUCUGCAAUUCAGGCAAAGCUCCAGUAUCUACGAAUUCUGAAUGAACUUCCUACCUUCACGGGCGUUUUGUUCAACACUGUGGGCCUGGUCAGUGGGGCAGGAUGGGGGGAUGUGGGGAGGGAGCCCUUUGUUGGCUCUUGUGCUUGGGGGUGGGGGCAGGAGGGGCAAAUAUUUCUAAAGGCCUGCCUUCCUCUUCCUCCUCCUUCUACCUCUCCCCUCCCUGGCCCUGCCUCUGGUAAAAUAAUAAAGUGGGAGGAGACACUUGUUUUGAGUAUCCCUCCAUGACCUUUUUUUGUUCCUCUUCCUCAAUUUUGGGGCUCAGCAAACUUUUGCCAUGAAGGGCCAGAUAGUAAAUAUUUUAGGUUUUACAGGCAGGCUAUACGGGCAACUGCGGCAACUACUCAGCUGUGAGAUCAUGAAAGCAGCUACAGACAUGCGUAAACAAGUGGGUGUGGCUAUGUGCCAAUAACUAUAGACACGAAAAUUUGAAUUUCAUGUACUUUUCACAUGUCACAAAACAUGCCUCUUCUGAUUUUUUUCUCAACCAUUAAAAAAUGUAAGAACCGUUCUUAGCUCCUGAGCCAUAAAAAAUAGGUGGUGGUCGGGAUUUGGCCCAUGGGCCAUAGUUUGCCAACCCCUGCUCUAUUUCAUUUUUGUUGCACAUACUCCCGCAGUCCCCUACCCUAAGUUUCCUGAGUCCUUCUAUUUCCCCUGCUUGCCCAGCACCUCUGCUGCAGGAACAAGGCUCUGGGGCAGGCCACAGCUUGUCCCACUCUAAGACUGUGCCCCAGGCUAGUUUACCCUGGUGAAAGGGAAUGCAAAUCAUCUUGCUGAUUGGAUCCAGGUGCUUGUCUUGCUCCCAGGGGUACACUGUCAGCUAGUGCGGCACAAGGAUGGAAAGCUACUUAUCAAAGUGCCUGUAGACAGGCACAAGAGGUUCCUCAGGGUGAUGCUAAUACCAGGGAAUGGGCCACCAGAGGACCCAGGCUUGGUUGCUCCAAGGAGUCUGUCAAUACCUCUUAAGGGAAUCCAGCCCUUCGGGACAAGAGGUAGCCAUUUACAUAUGGGGAUUUGCAGAACACCGAAAGCCCACUGUUCCCUCCCACCUCCUUCAUUCGCCAUCAAAUCUUUCUCCCACCCACCUACCAAUGCUAAAACUUCUAUCGACCGUACCUGCUAGAGUGCCUAUUAAUAGGCAAAUCUCUGCUUAAGGAGGGAGGCUGCCAUGAAGUACCCAAUCAACCCUGAACACCUUAAGCAGAGUUACUGUGCCAGUUUAGAUUUUGGCCUGGGGUGAGAAGUGCAAGUCUGAGUGGCUGUUGGUAGGGGGAGAGUAAAGACCAGACAUGGGAUGCCACCUUCUCAGGCAGAGCACUGCAUGGGGGGCCUCGAAUGGCCUGCAGCCAACAAAUGGAAAGUCCUGGGGCUUGGUAGGGAAGGGUGCUCCAAAGGCCCCCAAACAAACCUCACCUACUUCACCAUUUUGCUGGAGCUAGUCCUGCUGCUGCACUCUUUAUUCAACCUGCUGCUGAUGCUAAGGUGUCCAUUUGGACCCAUAAUCUGGGGCUCUAUUCCAGGAAUCAUGUUCUGUCCCAGACCAUUUUCCCCUCAAGGCUGUUCAGUCUGGCACUGAGCCCCAGAUAUUUUCAGAUCCCACCAGCAGAGUCCAAUGCAUGUUUUCUAUUUCCUCCUCCUGCCUCAUCUCCCCAACUCCUUCACCCUUCUUUCUGUGAAUACUGCCUGCCAUUCUUGGGCACCAGGACGAGAAGCAGCGGCAACCACUCUCCUGGUGGGGACCCCGUCAUGGCAUCAGCCAUGUUAUUGACCUCAAAACCAACCUCACCACUGUGCUGUCCGAGUUCAGCAAGAUCAGCAAGAUCCAGCUGUUCCGGGAGAACCAGGGCGUGG